rnacentral:rRNA from 1 species
AGCGGCGGACGGGUGAGUAACGCGUAGGCAACCUGCCUCACACAGAGGGAUAGCCAUUGGAAACGAUGAUUAAAACCUCAUAAUGCUUUUUCAACUCAUGUUGAGAAAGCCAAAGAUUUAUCGGUGUGAGAUGGGCCUGCGUCUGAUUAGCUAGUUGGUGAGGUAACGGCUCACCAAGGCAGCGAUCAGUAGCCGACCUGAGAGGGUGAUCGGCCACAUUGGAACUGAGACACGGUCCAAACUCC